GACGAACGCUGGCGGCGUGCUUAACACAUGCAAGUCGAACGAAGUGGCGAACGGGUGAGUAACGCGUAAUCAACCUGCCCUUCAGAGGGGGACAACAGUUGGAAACGACUGCUAAUACCGCAUACUGAAGGAGGGGAUUGCGUCUGAUUAGCUAGUUGGAGGGGUAACGGCCCACCAAGGCGAUGGUAAGUAGCCGGUGUGGGAGACUGAACGGGCACAGUGGGACGGAGAACCGGCCCAGACUCCGACGGGAGGCAGUAGUGGGGAAUCUUCCGCAAUUGACGAAAGUCUGACGGCGCAACGCCGCGGGAGUGAUGACGGCCUUCGGGUUGUAAAGCUCUGUUAUUCAGGACGCGGUACCGGAAUAGAAAGCCACGGCUAACUACGUGCCAGCAGCCGCGGUAAUUC
rnacentral:rRNA from 1 species